rnacentral:rRNA from 1 species
ACGGGUGAGUAACGCGUGGGAAUCUACCUUUUGCUACGGAAUAACUCAGGGAAACUUGUGCUAAUACCGUAUGUGUCCUUCGGGAGAAAGAUUUAUCGGCAAAGGAUGAGCCCGCGUUGGAUUAGCUAGUUGGUGGGGUAAAGGCCCACCAAGGCGACGAUCCAUAGCUGGUCUGAGAGGAUGAUCAGCCACACUGGGACUGAGACACGGCCCAGACUCCUACGGGAGGCAGCAGUGGGGAAUAUUGGACAAUGGGCGCAAGCCUGAUCCAGCCAUGCCGCGUGAGUGAUGAAGGCCCUAGGGUUGUAAAGCUCUUUCACCGGUGAAGAUAAUGACGGUAACCGGAGAAGAAGCCCCGGCUAACUUCGUGCCAGCAGCCGCGGUAAUACGAAGGGGGCUAGCGUUGUUCGGAUUUACUGGGCGUAAAGCGCACGUAGGCGGACUUUUAAGUCAGGGGUGAAAUCCCAGAGCUCAACUCUGGAACUGCCUUUGAUACUGGAAGUCUUGAGUAUGGUAGAGGUGAGUGGAAUUCCGAGUGUAGAGGUGAAAUUCGUAGA